AUUGAACGCUGGCGGCAGGCCUAACACAUGCAAGUCGAGCGGAUGAGAGGAGCUUGCUUCUCGAUUCAGCGGCGGACGGGUGAGUAAUGCCUAGGAAUCUGCCUGGUAGUGGGGGACAACGUUUCGAAAGGAACGCUAAUACCGCAUACGUCCCACGGGAGAAAGCAGGGGACCUUCGGGCCUUGCGCUAUCAGAUGAGCCUAGGUCGGAUUAGCUAGUUGGUGAGGUAAUGGCUCACCAAGGCGACGAUCCGUAACUGGUCUGAGAGGAUGAGCAGUAACACUGGAACUGAGACACGGUCCAGACUCCUACGGGAGGCAGCAGUGGGGAAUAUUGGACAAUGGGCGAAAGCCUGAUCCAGCCAUGCCGCGUGUGUGAAGAAGGUCUUCGGAUUGUAAAGCACUUUAAGUUGGGAGGAAGGGUUGUACGUUAAUACCGUGCAAUUUUGACGUUACCGACAGAAUAAGCACCGGCUAACUCUGUGCCAGCAGCCGCAGUAACAC
rnacentral:rRNA from 1 species